GACGAACGCUGGCGGCGUGCCUAAUACAUGCAAGUCGAACGCAGUGGGGACGGGUGAGUAACACGUUGGUAACCUCCCAUCAGAGGGGAUAACACUUGGAAACAGGUGCUAAACCGAUACUGAUGGAUGGACCCGCGGUGCAUUAGCUAGUUGGUGAGGUACAGGGUCACAAGGGCAACGAUGCAUAGCCGGACUGCUAGGGGGACCGGCCACACGGGGACUGAGACACGGCCCAGACUCCUACGGGAGGCAUCAGUAGGGAAGCUUCGGCAAGGGACGAAAGUCUGACCGAGCAACGCCGCGUGAGUGAAGAAGGUUUUCGGAUCGUAAAACUCUGUUGUUAGAGAAGCGGUAUCUAACCAGAAAGCCACGGCUAACUACGUGCCAGCAGCCGCGGUAAUAC
rnacentral:rRNA from 1 species